rnacentral:rRNA from 1 species
AGAAUCAACGCUGGCGGCGUGCCUAACACAUGCAAGUUGAACGAGAAAGUGGAGCAAUCCAUGAGUAAAGUGGCGCACGGGUGAGUAACACGUGACUAACCUACCCUUGAGUGGGGAAUAACCUAGGGAAACCUGGGCUAAUACCGCAUAACACCUACGGGUCAAAGGAGCAAUUCGCUUAAGGAGGGGGUCGCGGCAGAUUAGCUAGUUGGCGGGGUAAUGGCCCACCAAGGCAGUGAUCUGUA